rnacentral:rRNA from 1 species
AGGAUAAACGCUGGCGGCGUGCCUAACACAUGCAAGUCGAACGCGCUUUCGUCUUCGGAGGAGAGCGAGUGGCGGACGGGUGAGUAACACAUGGGUACCUACCCCACAGUGAGGGAUACCGGCGAGAAAUCGCCGACAAUACCGCAUAGGCUUCUCUUUGGAGACGAGGAGAAGCAAAGUUGCGCAAGCGACGCUGAGGGAUGGGCCUGUGGCCGAUUAGCUAGUUGGGGGGUAACGGCUUCCCAAGGCGACGAUCGGUAGCUGGUCUGAGAGGACGAUCAGCCACACUGGGAUUGAGAACGGCCCAGACUCCUACGGGGGGCAGCAGUGAGGAAUUUUCCGCAAUGGAGGCAACUCUGACGGAGCAACGCCGCGUGCAGGAUGAAGGUUUUCGGAUCGUAAACUGCUUUUCUCGGGGACGAGCAAGGACGGUACCCGAGGAACGAAGCCCCGGCUAACUACGCGCCAGCAGCCGCGGUAA